rnacentral:ncRNA from 1 species
UACAACGAAAUUGAUUUAUGUUGAAACAUUGGUUAAAAUCUGUCUCUAAUAAAGUCCCAUUGGUGCGCGUCACAGAUUAGACUGACGGCAGCAGGCACUUUCCUUCGUGAGAGUCCUGCAAAUUCAGCAAAUAGCCAAACUUUACCACUACUUACUUUGCUCUCUCGCAAACGUUCGUUGUUGUUUCUUUUGGACCAGGUUUAGAGAAAUCGCACGCACAGCGGAACUGGACCGCUUAAGCCAGAAAUAGUAAAGUAACAAUAGCCAAAUGCCUCGUCAUCUAAUUAGUAACGCGUAUGAAUGGAUCAACAAGAUUCCUUCUGUCCCUAUCUACUAUCUAGCGAAACCACAGCCAAGGGAACGGGCUUGG